rnacentral:rRNA from 1 species
CCUACGGGGAGCAGCAGUGGGGAAUAUUGGGCAAUGGGCGCAAGCCUGACCCAGCAACGCCGCGUGAAGGAAGAAGGCUUUCGGGUUUUAAACUUCUUUUGUCAGGGAAGUGUAGAAGACGGUACCUGACGAUUAAGACACGGCUAACUACGUGCCAGCAGCUGCGGCAAUACGUAGGUGGCAAGCGUUGUCCGGAUUUACUGGGUGUAAAGGGCGUGUAGCCGGGUUGACAAGUCAGAUGUGAAAUCCUGCGGCUUAACCGUAGAACUGCAGUUGAAACUGUUGAUCUUGAGUACUGGGAAGGCAGAUGGAAUUCGUGGUGUAGCGGUGAAAUGCGUAGAUAUUAGGAGGAACACCAGUGGCGAAGGCGGUCUGCUGGACAGCAACUGACGGUGAGGCGCGAAGGCGUGGGGAGCGAACAGGAUUAGAUACCCCUGUAGUC